UUUUUUUUUUUUAGGUGUGUCCCGCAGGGAGUGGACCCCGCAGACUAUUCACCACCCUCAGCAACUUGCUGGCAGCAAGGUUCGAACCAGGGACCUGAGGCUCCAUCUUCAGCAACCUCAACCACCAGACCAAGCCCCUGAGGGCUGGUUUCUAAAGUUGGAGAAAUGGACGAUGCAUUUGGGAGCAGUCGCAUCUCCACGGAAACUGGAGUGCUUUUACUUCACCACCUUGCAGAAAUUAGAAGGCUUGGAAUUCUUCUUAAUCAUGAGUUGAAGUCUAAGCUGGGUGACAGACACCAUUGCUUCUGCCCACCAUGGUAUAAAAGCUUUUAUCAUUAUGAUCAGUCAUUACCAUGGAUCUGCAUGGCCUACCUUUGAUGGUUAACGCAGACACACAUCCUCUUUUCUUGAGAUAACUGUUUUCACUUUUCCGUGUUAUCAUUUUCCAUUCGCCCUCACCACUAAUAAUCUGAAAUUUCCAGUCUCACAAAGUUUAUCUGUUUAGCAUUGAAGGUAGUUUGUGAUGGUAUAACUGUUUUAGCCAACUGCAGACAUUCAAGAUCAAAUAUACCACAAUGAACUUACCAAUUUGCCACUGUAUGUGGCUGCCUUCAGUGGCUUUCUCCAACCGGUGGUGAUUCAACUUCCAUCGGCUCUCUCUCCCUUAGAUUAGGUUAUAGAAAUGUUAUCAUUGCGACAAAAAAAAAAAAA